UCUGAGGAAGCACAGCAACACAGCAGGAAACAGAGCAGAGAGCAGAGGAGAUGAGAGAUAUAUAAUAGGAGGCCACUGUUCAUAAGAGGAGAGCCAGAAAAAACCCUAAUUCCAUAUAGUAGCCGCCGCUGUUCACCUAUAGGGAAGAGAGGAUUCUGAAAAAAACACAAAAACCGUUGUUACUGUUCACUAAGAGAAAGAGGAGUAGUCGGCAAGAAGAAAAGAAAGCCAUAGUUUUUCUUGGUGGUGAAGAGCGGACGAGAAGAUCAAAACCGGUUCAGGUAAAACGCUUACUCACAUUCGUCGGUCGAGCUCGCCGCAACCGGUUAGCUUCCUUUCCGAGCUUUAUUUCCAUAUUUCGAUUAUGCUUUGAAUUCCAUGUUUGAUUUAGCAACACCGUUGCCUGUUUGUGAUGUUAACUUGCUGUUAAGAUUUUGAUUUUUUCAAAAUGGAAAGAAAACUGAGCUUUGGAUCGUUACUGUUUUCAACAUGAGCUUUGUUAUUAGUAGUCACUGUUUUCAACAUGAGCUCUGUUAUUCGUAGUUACUGUUUUCCAACUUUGUGUUUUAUUUAAAAGGUUUGGUGCAUCUUUUGUUAUAUUAUGUAUUAGUGUUUGAAACUAUAUAACAGGGAUGUCGAUUUGGUUGAGUUGGUAAAGAUGUUGUUUGUUAAACCUUAAGUUCUGGGUUCAAUCCUUGGUUUUUAACAUAUUUUUUAUUUUCUACUAGUUUUUAUUAUUAUUACCAUUUUUUAUUAUUUUAAACCUUUUAUUUAUUUUUAUUUUUUCUCCUUUUUGUAAACACUUGUUGAUUUUAAUGUUAAACAUCGAUUUGUAAUUUAUGGAUUUGACAAUUUUCUUGUUAUUUAUCCAUGAAUAUUUUUAUCGAUAUAUUGAUAGUAUUUCAUCGCGUUUCGAUUAAUCGCAUAUGACAUUUCAAUUGUUGUCAAUAUGUGCAAACCGGCUUUGAGCACAUUAUUUAGGUUUUGUGUGUUCCUCAAUUUCCAUCCGUGCAAAUCCCGAUUUUAUCUUUCUUUGAUUUAAUUUUUAAGUGUUUUGUAAAUAUAAUUUGUUGUGUUAUUUAUUUUCUUCACAUGGCUUACUCUUGGGCCUUCUUACAAUGAGCUCUUAAGUAACAUCAACUUAACUUUCAAUAAUUUCAAACCUCGGUACUUUAAUUGUUUUAACUUAAUAUUCAAAUCAUUUUCUAAAUAAAACGUGAAGAAAAAGAUUACCUGGAUGAAAUGUCCAGUCGUAAUCCCGAAUAUUAGGCUCAAGCUGUAAGAGCUUGUAAGCCAUAAAUAUUCGUCUUCUCUCCAAAAUCGUUAUGAGUAUCUAAACCAUUUUCUUAAUAAGGCGUGAAGAAAAAGAUUACCUGGAUGGAAUGUCCAGUCGUAAUCCCGAAUAUUAGGCUCAAGCUGUAAGAGCUUGCAAGCCGUUAAUAUUCGUCUUCUCUUUAACACUCUAAUAUUCAAAUUAUUUUCUAAAUAAAAAGUUGGAAGAAAAAGAUUACCUGGAUGGAAUGUCCAGUCGUAAUCCCGAAUAUUAGGCUCAAGCUGUAAGAGCUUGCAAGCCAUAAAUAUUCGUCUUCUCUUUCACACUCCAAGAUUCAAAACCUCUUCUUAAUAAAGUUGGAAGAAAAAGAUUACCUGGAGGGAAUAUCCAGUCGUAAUCCCGAAUAUUAGGCUCAAGCUGUAAGAGCUUGUAAGUCAUAAAUAUUCGUCUUCCCUCCAAAACAUUUAUAAAUAUUCGAAUCAUUUUCUUGGCAAUAUUGGAAAGAAACAGACUGCCUGGGUGGAAUAUCCAGACGUAGUCCCGAGUAUUAGACCCAAGUUGUAAGAGCUUGUAGGUCACAAGUACUCGUCUUUCAAACUUCAAAAUACUUAAUUCCUACUUAAUACUUUUUUCAAUAAAGAUGGAAAUGGAACAUGGCGUAUGCUGUGCACUCCUGAGACUAGGAUUCGAGAUGUAUAUCUCGCUCAUCCAAGUCCUCGCCAUCACUCAAAAUACACCAAACCAAUCAAUUUCUUUUUCUCGUCGCCGUGCGAUUGACUCUUAAACCUUUUCACAAACGAAAGGUACUUUGUUUCAAAACAAUGCAAGGCAAUGUUUUUCCACCUGUUUUAGGUAGUCCAACAAUGUUUUCGUCGAUUUGACACAAAGUAGCUUUCGCUAAAAUCGACCAACAAACAAACAUUUUCUACCCAGAACUACGUAAGCCUUGAUUUCUCUUUUGAGAUACGUAGGAGCAGGAUUUGUAAAUCUUGUCAGACCCACUAAUAAAAAACUUAGGUUUAGUCCUUCGUUAAAAAUCCAAAAACAUUUCUUCUAUCUUCCUUUCUUUCUUUCCCACCUAAUAAUUCGAAAAGCCUAACAAUUCAGCUAACAUUAAUGCACACAACGGACCUAAUGGUUCCCGUUGAGUACAACGGACGUGAGGGGUGCUAAUACCUUCCCCUCGCGUAAUCGACUCCCGAACCCUGAUAUUGGUUGCGAUGACCAUAUCUUAUCCUUUUUUUUGUCUUGGGUUUUAUCGAUAUUUCCCCUUUCCUUUUUAGGAAUAAAUAAAGUUCGGUGGCGACUCUGUUCAGUCCAUCAUUGCGAGCGUGCGAUCGCGCUUCGCUUUGAAGUCGUAUCCCCAUUUUUUCGAGGUGCGACACUUAGCAUAUGGUCCAAGUUUCCAUGUUUUUUCUUAUAGCGCAUACGCGAUUAAUGGAUACACAUUUUAUACCAAAGAACAAGAUGAUAAAAGUACUAUGCAGAAUAGUGGUGUCACCGUGGUAGCUGAAGAAAUGCACAUAUCAAGUGUGAAGGACUUAAACCCCAAAUUUGCAAAUUUGUCGUAUUUUGGUGUUAUCGAGCGCAUUUGGGUGUUUGAUUAUGAGAAGUUUCAGAUUCCUAUAUUUGGUUGCAAGUGGGUUGAAAAUAAUAACGGCAUUCGAAUGGAUAAGUCAGGAUUUUUGCAAGUGGAUCUUAAUAGGGUGGGAUACAAAGAUGAGUCUUUUAUUCUAGCCUCUCAAGCUAGACAAGUGUUCUAUGUCAAUGAUCCGAAAAGUACGAAAUGGUCUAUAGUUCUUUUUUCCAACAAAGUAAUUGAUGAAAACACUGGAGAUCAAGGUGAUAUUGAUGUUGAGAUUGAAUCGUUUACCAGAAAUGAUCAAGAUGAGAACAUUAUAUCAAAUGAUUCAUAUAUUAGAAAUGAUCAUAAUGAGGGUAUUUGGAUCAAUCCAACCGUCCGUGUUGUUAAGAGACAUGUAGAACAUAUUCCAACCAAGAAAAGAAAGAGAACUUAGUGAAAAAGGUAAAAUGGCUAUUAUGAAGUCAAUCAUUCGUGCAAGGGGCAAGGGAUACUUGAAAGUAUCAAUUGAUAUUUGUUUAGAUGGAGAUGUUCCAUUGUCGUCAAGCCUCAUUCGCGUAGAUGAUGAUGCUGGAUAUUUGAAAGUAUCCCUCUACGACAAUGGAACAUGUCCAUCUAAACAAAUAUCAAUUCUAUCUUCAAAAGAUAAGGGACCAAAAAUAUAAGGGGAUUACGCAGCAAAUCGAGUCAGUUGCAUCAAAAAAAAAGGUUCAUGCUAUUGAUAUUGAACAAAAAGAGGUUGUUGCUAAGAAGACUGCUGCUAGCAAAAAAAACAUACAUCUCAGAGAUGCUUUUGCUACUUAGUUUUAUUUCUUUUUAAGUUAUGAAUUGGUUGUAUAUUUAGAAUCUUUAGAAGUUAAAUGAUUAUAUAUCAGUGGAUUGUUGUAUAUGUAUGGAUUGUUGUAUAUAAGGCUUGUUGAAUGCAAUGUGUGAAAAAGGGCUUCAAAUUAUA